GUACUGCUGAGGAGUCCCACACUAGAACGAAACAGAUGUCCAGUAC
rnacentral:hammerhead_ribozyme from 1 species